rnacentral:rRNA from 1 species
CUUGCUAAGGCUGAUGGCGACCGGCGCACGGGUGAGUAACACGUAUCCAACCUGCCGAUAACUCGGGGAUAGCCUUUCGAAAGAAAGAUUAAUAUCCGAUAGUAUAUUAAAACCGCAUGGUUUUACUAUUAAAGAAUUUCGGUUAUCGAUGGGGAUGCGUUCCAUUAGUUUGUUGGCGGGGUAACGGCCCACCAAGACUACGAUGGAUAGGGGUUCUGAGAGGAAGGUCCCCCACAUUGGAACUGAGACACGGUCCAA